rnacentral:misc_RNA from 1 species
CUUGCGGAAAAUCGUUCUUUCUGUUCUUGGAGUCGGGAAACUGCAGUUGAAGUGAAUCAGUUAAAGUAUCACCUUGAAUAGAAACUGAAACAACAAACUAAUUAAAUAUGUUACGACAGAUAACGGGAGCCAUUGGAUCCCUCAGACUUAGGACGUACGGAGUCAAUUACCAUAGUGGAAAUUACAGAAAUGUUAAGGAGCGGAGAAACGUGUAUGGAAAUACCAACACUAACAGGAAUGGACGUUUUGAGAAUCACAAUAAAAAUAAUAUUAACAAUAUUUCUGGCAACUUGAGGAAACCAAAUUGGAGUUCAGAAAGUUUAAAACCAUUUAAAAAAGAUUUUUAUAUACCACAUCCUGAUGUCCAGUCACGUCAUCCACAAGACAUAGAUUCAUUUAGACAAGAAAAUCAAAUCACACUUAAGGGAGAAAAAAUUCCAAAUCCUAUUCAACAUUUUGAAGAAGGAAAUUUCCCUGAUCAUGUCAUGCAAUGUAUCAGAAAACAAGGAUUCAGUGAGCCAACAGCUAUUCAAGCUCAAGGAUGGCCAAUUGCUAUGUCUGGUCAAAACAUGGUUGGAAUAGCACAAACUGGCUCUGGAAAGACUUUAGGAUACAUCUUGCCAGCAUUAGUACAUAUUAGUAGUCAACAACCUUUAAAUCGUGGCGAUGGGCCGAUUGCUCUCAUCCUAGUGCCAACCAGAGAAUUGGCACAACAAAUUCAAGAUGUUGCCCACAAUUUCAGCUCUUUGUCAUAUGCAAAAAGUACAUGUAUUUUUGGUGGAGCACCAAAAGGAAAACAAGCUCGUGAUUUAGAACAAGGAGUUGAAAUCUGCAUUGCCACACCUGGACGAUUAAUCGAUUUUCUGGAACAUGGCACAACCAACUUACGCAGAUGCACUUACCUGGUAUUGGAUGAAGCAGACAGAAUGUUAGACAUGGGUUUUGAGCCUCAAAUUCGAAAAAUCAUUGAACAAAUUAGGCCAGACAGACAAGUUCUUAUGUGGUCUGCAACAUGGCCAAAAGAAGUCAGAAAUCUUGCCGAAGAAUACCUUGUAGAUUAUACACAAUUGAACAUUGGAUCAUUAACCCUGUCAGCUAACCACAACAUUCUACAAAUUAUUGAUGUUUGUGAGGAACAUGAAAAACAAACAAAAUUAGAAAACCUUCUGCAGGAAAUUAGUAGUGUUAAUCCUAAUGAUGGAAAGACAAUAAUUUUUGUUGAAACAAAGAAAAAAGUAGAGAAUAUUGCCAGAAAUAUUCGUCGUUAUGGCUGGCCUGCAGUAUGCAUACACGGUGACAAAUCGCAAGGAGAAAGAGAUCAUGUUCUUACAGAAUUCAGAAGGAAAAGGAACGCAAUUCUUGUAGCAACAGAUGUUGCUGCCCGCGGAUUAGAGGCACAUGGUGCACAAAUUGUGUUGAGUGUGCGAUGAAAAACGAUCAUUCGAUAAAGAAAACAUGGCUCACUCAUUGUACAUGCGCAAUUCUGUUUUGUACAUAAUAUUGUACUUAAUGUGCCUCUGUGUUCAGCCUCUGUGUACCACGCGAUAGUAGAGUGGUGCGCGGGUGGUGCCGCAAUCGUGCUGAUUGGUUGUGAGAUAAAGCGGUGGUUUACAACCGGUACACCUCAUAGCCAGUGUUCAGCCCGUGUCAGAGACAACAAUCUAUUGAUUUUGCUACUAUCGCUACUACUCAGUGGUGAUGCUUAGGACACGACGUCGCUAAGUGAACUUGCAUUUAAGAAUAGCACACAUUGAGGCGCUCUGUAUGCAGUCAUACGGAACGCAUUGUCCAACGAUAACUGGAUGUCGACGACGUAAAGUUUGUGAUCAACUUCGAUUACCCAACAUCAUCUGAAAACUACAUUCAUAGAAUCGGUAGGACGGGUCGUUCAAAUAAUUCA